GGGAGAUUUACUUGGCGGCUACUGGAGAGCUUGGGAGCUAUGGGUCUAUGUAUACUUCCCAGCAUUAGCCCCAGAGUUGGAGGUGGCAGGGCUUCCCAUGACCCCAUACUCACUAGUGUUCGAGGGCCCGCACCGGCCGAGACCCCGAGAGACCCUCAUUUACUUGCGACGGUAUUUUGACACUGUGCGGCAUUCGGAGAUCUCAUGGCAGCCUUGGGCGCCCCUGGGUGAUGGUCUCCGACUUCAGUAUACCGGAGGGUCAGACACCUCCCAGUAUAGGGUCCUGCUCGAAGGGCCGGUUGGCAGGGCAUGGUUCCUGGGGGAACGCUUUCUGCGUCAGGUAUGGGGGUAUCUUUCUCAGGAUCCUCCCGCAGUACCCCCAGUCAGUAUGUGGACUGCUGACAUGCUCUCUUUCUCAGAGGUAGU